GGUUAGUUUUGUGGUGACGCUAAGAGAGAGUUAAUUUGCCCCCUGCUCUGCCUGGAAGGAAUGUUCCUGUUGCAAUAAGCUCUAAAAGUGGAAGCUUUAAGAUAAUAUGGAAUAGGGAGCAAUAGAAACUUGUGAGGUAUGGCAGCCAGACCUACUCUUAAGAUUCGAUCACAGUGCUGAAUAAAGGGGAAAGAAUGUUGUUAAAUCUGUUUCCCCCUGUGGUGCUUCUCCCUGCUAGCUUUACUCUUCCAUUUCAACCCUCAAGUGAGCUUUCCAGAAUCCGUUUCCAAUUUAACUCAUUGUCUCAUGUACUAGAUCCCAAAAAAGUGAGAGAACUAAGUUUCAGUGCAAAUUAAACUGGAUCACUUGUAACAGAAUGAUUUAGAUUGCCUAUAUGUUUCUCAAGAGCAAAGCCAAGCAUUUCCUCCCUCCUGCUAUACAAACAGUGACAGAGUUCAGAAGCCCUCCAGCACUAAGCUAAAAAAUACCUGGGAGAAACUGGGGUUUAGUUGCUGUUGGCAUUUAAGCUGUUUGCUAAAAGCAGCCAUCUUGGUGAAAGAUGAUGUCAUUUGGAACACUUGGUGUUUUCGAGUUUAUUCUGAGGUGCCAGUUUCCAAGAGCCAUUGAAUCACCGUUUAAUCAUGAGAUCAAAUUUAGGUUUAAAGAUAAUGAGGGAGUGGGAAUAAGAAUCAUUCUUCUUUCUUCCUAACACUUUAGAAAUCUUUCAGAAAGUUCAAC
rnacentral:lncRNA from 10 species